GUGUUGUGCAAAAGCAAAAACGGUCAACACUCCCUAGACAAGGAUGGAAUACAUAUGAUUAAGGCGCCGCUCAGUUACCAGCGCUUGACCCAGUCAGUAAAUAUU